ACCCCCAUGGUGUAGCGGUUAAACACCUGGGACCUCUUUCAGAGAGGCUGUCGGUUCGAACCCGGCUGGGGGCA